UCUGUCAUUUAGCAGAAAACAUUAUCCUUUUACUCUCUGGUCUCCAAUGUUACUUGGCUGCUAGGAGCCCAACCAGCCCCUCAAGCUUUAAACCCUCACUAAACCUCUCCACUCCACCCACCAUGGAGACCCUCAAAUCAUCCUUCCUCCACUCCACUCCUCUCCUCCCUUCACACCACAAAAGUGACAAAACCCCUCCUCCUCCAAAGCCCACCUCAAAGCCAAAACCCAAAUUCACCAAAACACUCUGCGCAGUAUCCCCAGACCCCUGGACUCUCAGCGAUGGCAACAUCAAUCGUCCCAAACCCAUCUCCAAGAACCCCAAAAACCGGCUCUCUGACGACAAUGCCCGCCGAAUCAUAAAGGCCAAGGCCCAGUACCUGAGCCUGCUGAGGAAGAACCAGGGCUCCACCGCCCAAACCCCCCGGUGGAUCCGCCGGACCCCCGAGCAGAUGGUCCAGUAUCUGCAGGACGAUAGGAACGGGCAUUUGUACGGGAAGCAUGUGGUGGCGGCCAUCCGGACCGUUCGGAGCCUCUCGGAGAAGGCCGAGGGGUCGUACAAUAUGAGGGAGGUGAUGGGAUCUUUUGUCACGAAGCUCACUUUCAGAGAGAUGUGUACUGUGCUGAAGGAGCAGAAGGGGUGGAGGCAGGCCAGGGACUUCUUUGCUUGGAUGAAAUUGCAGUUAAUUUACCACCCCAGUGUCAUUGCCUACACAAUUCUUUUACGCAUAUAUGGGCAAAUUGGAAAAAUCAAGCUUGCAGAACAGACAUUCUUGGAGAUGCUUGAAGAAGGUUGUGAACCAGAUGAAGUUGCUUGUGGUACGAUGCUGUGUGCAUAUGCUAGAUGGGGACGCCAUAAGGCAAUGCUCUCAUUUUAUUCUGCCGUGCAAGAAAGGGGAAUUACACUUUCUGUUGCUGUUUUCAAUUUCAUGCUCUCAUCUUUGCAGAAAAAAUCACUCCAUGGAAAAGUUAUACAGAUAUGGAUGGAUAUGGCUGAUAAAAGAGUGGUCCCUAAUCAUUUUACUUUUACAGUUGUCAUUAGUUCUCUUGUGAAAGGAGGACAUCACGAAAAGGCUUUCAAAACUUUUGAAGAGAUGAAGAAUCUCGGGUUUGUACCCGAGGAGGCAACCUACAGCCUUCUUAUUAGUCUCUGUUCCAAAAACAAUGACCCAGACAAAGCAUUGAGACUCUAUGAAGAUAUGAGAUCUAGGGGCAUAAUUCCUAGUAAUUUUACAUGUGCAUCACUUUUAGCCCUGCAUUACAAAAACAGGGAUUAUUCCAAAGCUGUUUCCGUCUUUACAGAAAUGGAGACCUAUAAAAUUGUAGCUGAUGAGGUUAUAUAUGGUUUGGUCAUCAGGAUAUAUGGCAAACUUGGCCUUUAUGAGGAUGCGAUGAAAACAUUUGAAGAGGUCGAGAAGUUGGGCCUCCUUACGGAUGGUAAAACGUAUUUAGCAAUGGCGCAAGUCCAUCUCAAUACAGGGAAUUUUGAGAAGGCUUUGAAUAUUAUGGAAUUAAUGAGAUCUAGAAACAUUUGGUUUUCAAGAUUUUCUUAUAUUGUUUUGUUGCAGUGUUAUGUCAUGAAGGAAGAUUUGGCAUCUGCUGAAGAUACUUUUCAGGUUCUAACCAAGACUGGACUUCCUGAUGCUGGCUCAUGCAAUGACAUGCUCAAUUUGUAUAUGAGGCUGGGCUUAGCUGAAAAAACCAAGGAUUUUAUUGUUCGGAUGAGGAAAGAUGGAAUUGAAUUUGACGAGGAGCUUUGCAAGACUGUUCUGAAGAUAUAUAGCAAGGAGGGAAUGCUGAGAGAUGCUGAGCAGUUGAUAGAAGAGAUGAGUGCAAAUGGGUCAUUUACUGACAGUAAAUUCAUUCAAACAUGCUUUGCAGCUAUGCAUGGAGAAUUUGUGAGACUUGAUAAAGAUGAAGACACUUAUGAGACAGAUCAACCCAUCACUAUUGCUUUUCAGUUGAUGCUUAGUUUGUAUCUCUCUGCUGGCAAUACAAAUAAGGCAGAGGAAGUACUGAAAUGGUCGCUUAGGAUGACUGAUGGCUUGUCAGUAGCCAGUCAGCUUAUUAGAAAAUUCAUCAGAGAAGGUGAUGUAUCUGAAGCUGAAAUUCUGUAUGGGCAAUUGAUCAACCUAGGCUGUAUGCCAGAGGAUGCAGCCUGUGCCUCUAUGAUUAGUUUGUAUGGACAGAAAAACGAGCUAAAAAAAGCCCAAGACAUUUUUUUGGCAAUGGCCGACUCUUCUAAAGUUGGAAAACGAUUAUAUACCUCAAUUAUUGAUGCAUAUAUGAGGUGUGAUAAACCAGAGGAGGCAUACUUGCUUUACGCAAAAGUGACUGAGGAGGGGCAUGAUAUGGGGGCUGUUGCCAUCAGCAUUCUUGUGAACUCUUUGAGUAGUUAUGGGAAACAUCAAGAGGCAAAAAAUGUCAUAGACACUAGUUUUCAUCGAGGAUUGGAGCUUGAUACUGUGGCGUACAAUACCUUUAUCAAGGCAAUGCUAGAAGCAGGCAAAUUGCACUUCGCAGCCCAUAUUUAUGAACACAUGCUCUCCGUGGGAGUCCCUCCAUCAAUUCACACAUAUAGCACAAUGAUCAGUGUGUAUGGACGAGGUCGAAAUCUGGAUAAGGCUGUUGAGAUGUUCAACAUGGCUCGUGGCUCAGGUGUUUCAUUGGAUGAGAAGGCAUACACCAAUCUGAUAAACUAUUAUGGAAAGGCUGGCAACAAUCAUGAAGCAUCUGUUCUAUUUAAGAAAAUGCAGGAUGAAGGAAUAAAACCUGGAAAGGUUAGCUACAAUAUCAUGAUAAACAUUUAUGCUAUUAAAGGACUUCAUCAGGAAGCGGAGGAACUUAUUGUAGCCAUGCAGAGAGAUGGCUGUUCACCUGACUCACUCACCUACCUUGCUCUUGUUCGAGCUUAUACUCAGAGUUUGAAUUAUUUACAAGCAGAGGAAACCAUCAUUUUUAUGCAGAAAGAAGGGAUUCCCCCUUCCUGUGCUCAUUUUAACCGUUUAAUCUCUGCUUUUGCAAGAGGGGGUUUGAUUGAGGAAGCAGAACGAAUUUAUGGGGAGCUUCCGAGGGCCGGUUUAAGUCCUGAUCUUGCAAUUUUCCAGUCUAUGUUGAGAGGGUAUUUGGACUAUGGACGCAUACAAGAAGGCAUCUCCUUCUAUGAAAGGAUGAGUAAGUCUGUGAAACCAGACAGAUUCAUUUUGAGUGCAGCCGUGCAUUUUUACAAGUCUCUGGGCAAGGAAAUUGAAGCUGAAUGUGUUUUAAAUUCCAUGAACAAUUUGGGGAUCCCAUACUUGGAAAAACUUGAAGUUGGAUCAAAGCUGAGACUCCCUUAACUAUAUGGGAACUAUUUUGAGGAAAAAGGAGAACUGAGUCUACAAGACCCUAAUGGUUUAUCUGGGUGCGAUUCUGCACUCAAAAAGUCAAGUGAGAAAUUCAACUUUGAGGAUGCUUUGGAUUCCAUGAAUUGAUUGUGGAUCCUGUAAGCCACAAACAUGAAAACAGAGUUAUAGAAUUCCAUGAAAUAUUACAGAACUUCUCAGGGAUUCUCUAACUGUGCUAUUGCCCAAUUGCAAGGGAUUUGAUCUGGGUACAGUGGUAUUCAAUAUGCAGAGCUAUGGCUACAGCAGUGACUUAAGUGUGGUUUUGUUAGUUUUAUUAUCAAUCCUUCUUCGGUCCUGCAGCUAAAGGGCCCUCUAACGUCAUUCUUGUUUGAUGCUAAUGCUUCAAUGUUGAGCUGGGAAUGCUGUUGUAGCAUGUCUGCUCAUGAAUGGCGCUCAUAAAGAUCAUGGCAAAGCAGAUACUCUUUCUAUACUGGAGUGAAGGAGCUUAGGAGCUUAUUCAAGUGUAGUAUCAAAUUAUAGGUGAUGAACCCACUUGAACCAAACAAACAGGGUUGUUGUGAAGAAGAUUAAGAAGCUAGGCCAAGAUGACAAGAUAAGAGUCUGAGAGUGGGGCUCGCAGUCUCCUUGGUCUCUUUUCUGCUACUUCCGGCCAAUCGACAACAGCUUCGUUGGUUCAGCUACUUGCACUGUCAUGACUCUGAUUGUCAUCUUCAAAUUCUCUGUGCAACUACUGGGAAAGCUGAGCUAACAACAUGGAGUGGAGAAACAUUUUCCAACAUGGUUUCAGAUUAUAGGUGAUGGAACAACUCUACUCAAAAUGCACAUAUAUGGGUAUUUUCAAAAAUUAUUGUCAGUUUGCUAGGAUUGGGUUUGGUCUACAAAAUAUUGAUGGUUUCCUUGCUCCUCUGUUUAUGACAUAUUCUUUCUUUUGCAUACAUCUAUUCAAAAUCGGUCUACUUCAGAAUUCAUUGUUGCUUUGAGCUCUUAACAAGUACUAUAUGUGUUGUUCUUAGUUUUAUGAAGUAUGUAUUCAAACA